UGUGAGCUCGAUGAGUAGGGCGGGACACGUGGUAUCCUGUCUGAAUAUGGGGGGACCAUCCUCCAAGGCUAAAUACUCCUGACUGACCGAUAGUGAACCAGUACCGUGAGGGAAAGGCGAAAAGAACCCCGGCGAGGGGAGUGAAAAAGAACCUGAAACCGUGUACGUACAAGCAGUGGGAGCACGCUUAGGCGUGUGACUGCGUACCUUUUGUAUAAUGGGUCAGCGACUUAUAUUCUGUAGCAAGGUUAACCGAAUAGGGGAGCCGAAGGGAAACCGAGUCUUAACUGGGCGUUAAGUUGCAGGGUAUAGACCCGAAACCCGGUGAUCUAGCCAUGGGCAGGUUGAAGGUUGGGUAACACUAACUGGAGGACCGAACCGACUAAUGUUGAAAAAUUAGCGGAUGACUUGUGGCUGGGGGUGAAAGGCCAAUCAAACCGGGAGAUAGCUGGUUCUCCCCGAAAGCUAUUUAGGUAGCGCCUCGUGAAUUCAUCUCCGGGGGUAGAGCACUGUUUCGGCAAGGGGGUCAUCCCGACUUACCAACCCGAUGCAAACUGCGAAUACCGGAGAAUGUUAUCACGGGAGACACACGGCGGGUGCUAACGUCCGUCGUGAAGAGGGAAACAACCCAGACCGCCAGCUAAGGUCCCAAAGUCAUGGUUAAGUGGGAAACGAUGUGGGAAGGCCCAGACAGCCAGGAUGUUGGCUUAGAAGCAGCCAUCAUUUAAAGAAAGCGUAAUAGCUCACUGGUCGAGUCGGCCUGCGCGGAAGAUGUAACGGGGCUAAACCAUGCACCGAAGCUGCGGCAGCGACGCUUAUGCGUUGUUGGGUAGGGGAGCGUUCUGUAAGCCUGCGAAGGUGUGCUGUGAGGCAUGCUGGAGGUAUCAGAAGUGCGAAUGCUGACAUAAGUAACGAUAAAGCGGGUGAAAAGCCCGCUCGCCGGAAGACCAAGGGUUCCUGUCCAACGUUAAUCGGGGCAGGGUGAGUCGACCCCUAAGGCGAGGCCGAAAGGCGUAGUCGAUGGGAAACAGGUUAAUAUUCCUGUACUUGGUGUUACUGCGAAGGGGGGACGGAGAAGGCUAUGUUGGCCGGGCGACGGUUGUCCCGGUUUAAGCGUGUAGGCUGGUUUUCCAGGCAAAUCCGGAAAAUCAAGGCUGAGGCGUGAUGACGAGGCACUACGGUGCUGAAGCAACAAAUGCCCUGCUUCCAGGAAAAGCCUCUAAGCAUCAGGUAACAUCAAAUCGUACCCCAAACCGACACAGGUGGUCAGGUAGAGAAUACCAAGGCGCUUGAGAGAACUCGGGUGAAGGAACUAGGCAAAAUGGUGCCGUAACUUCGGGAGAAGGCACGCUGAUAUGUAGGUGAAGUCCCUCGCGGAUGGAGCUGAAAUCAGUCGAAGAUACCAGCUGGCUGCAACUGUUUAUUAAAAACACAGCACUGUGCAAACACGAAAGUGGACGUAUACGGUGUGACGCCUGCCCGGUGCCGGAAGGUUAAUUGAUGGGGUUAGCGCAAGCGAAGCUCUUGAUCGAAGCCCCGGUAAACGGCGGCCGUAACUAUAACGGUCCUAAGGUAGCGAAAUUCCUUGUCGGGUAAGUUCCGACCUGCACGAAUGGCGUAAUGAUGGCCAGGCUGUCUCCACCCGAGACUCAGUGAAAUUGAACUCGCUGUGAAGAUGCAGUGUACCCGCGGCAAGACGGAAAGACCCCGUGAACCUUUACUAUAGCUUGACACUGAACAUUGAGCCUUGAUGUGUAGGAUAGGUGGGAGGCUUGGAAGUGUGGACGCCAGUCUGCAUGGAGCCGACCUUGAAAUACCACCCUUUAAUGUUUGAUGUUCUAACGUUGACCCGUAAUCCGGGUUGCGGACAGUGUCUGGUGGGUAGUUUGACUGGGGCGGUCUCCUCCUAAAGAGUAACGGAGGAGCACGAAGGUUGGCUAAUCCUGGUCGGACAUCAGGAGGUUAGUGCAAUGGCAUAAGCCAGCUUGACUGCGAGCGUGACGGCGCGAGCAGGUGCGAAAGCAGGUCAUAGUGAUCCGGUGGUUCUGAAUGGAAGGGCCAUCGCUCAACGGAUAAAAGGUACUCCGGGGAUAACAGGCUGAUACCGCCCAAGAGUUCAUAUCGACGGCGGUGUUUGGCACCUCGAUGUCGGCUCAUCACAUCCUGGGGCUGAAGUAGGUCCCAAGGGUAUGGCUGUUCGCCAUUUAAAGUGGUACGCGAGCUGGGUUUAGAACGUCGUGAGACAGUUCGGUCCCUAUCUGCCGUGGGCGCUGGAGAACUGAGGGGGGCUGCUCCUAGUACGAGAGGACCGGAGUGGACGCAUCACUGGUGUUCGGGUUGUCAUGCCAAUGGCACUGCCCGGUAGCUAAAUGCGGAAGAGAUAAGUGCUGAAAGCAUCUAAGCACGAAACUUGCCCCGAGAUGAGUUCUCCCUGACUCCUUGA
rnacentral:rRNA from 1 species